CCUCCCAAAGUGCCGAGACUGCAGCCUCUGCCCGGCCGCCACCCCGUCUGGGAAGUGAGGAGCGUCUCUGCCCGGCCGCCCCGUCUGAGAAGUGAGGAGCCCCUCCGCCCGGCAGCUGCCCCGUCUGAGAAGUGAGGAGCCCCUCCGCCCGGCAGCCACCCCGUCUGGGAAGUGAGGAGCGUCUCUGCCUGACAGCCACCCCGUCUGGGAGGGAGGUGGGGGGGGUCAGCCCCCCGCCCGGCCAGCCGCCCCGUCCGGGAGGUGAGGGGCGCCUCUGCCCGGCCGCCCCUACUGGGAAGUGAGGAGCCCCUCUGCCCAGCCAGCCGCCCCGUCCGGGAAGGAGGUGGGGGGGUC
rnacentral:lncRNA from 1 species